rnacentral:rRNA from 1 species
CCCUUAGAUGUUCUGGGCCGCACGCGCGCUACACUGAUGCGUUCAACAAGUUUCCUUGGCCGAGAGGCCUGGGCAAUCUUCUUAAUAUGUAUCGUGAUAGGGAUAGAUUAUUGCAAUUAUUAACCUUGAACGAGGAAUUCCUAGUAAACGCAGAUCAUCAAUCUGCAUUUAUUACGUCCCUGCCCUUUGUACACACCGCCCGUCGCACCUACCGAUUGGAUGUUCCGGUGAAGCCUCGGGAUGAGGACUGGUGCCUUUAUUGGCAUGAGUUGUUCAGAACUUGUCUAAACCUUAUCAUCUAGAGGAAGGUGAAGUCGUAACA